CGUUGAGAAGCUUAUAUUGGGGGAAGCGUCGGCCUUUUAAGCUGAAGAUAGGUGAUUCCCAACCACCCUUAACGG
rnacentral:tRNA from 1 species